rnacentral:rRNA from 1 species
GGGAUUGCCUCAGUAGCGGCGAGUGAGCGGCAAAAGCUCAAAUUUGAAAUCUGGCGUCUUUGGCGUCCGAGUUGUAAUUUGAAGAAGGUAUCUUUGGGCCCGGCUCUUGUCUAUGUUCCUUGGAACAGGACGUCACAGAGGGUGAGAAUCCCGUGCGAUGAGAUGACCCGGGUCUGUGUAAAGUUCCUUCGACGAGUCGAGUUGUUUGGGAAUGCAGCUCUAAGUGGGUGGUAAAUUCCAUCUAAAGCUAAAUAUUGGCGAGAGACCGAUAGCGAACAAGUACAGUGAUGGAAAGAUGAAAAGAACUUUGAAAAGAGAGUGAAAAAGUACGUGAAAUUGUUGAAAGGGAAGGGCUUGAGAUCAGACUUGGUAUUUUGCAUGUUGCUCUCUCGGGGGCGGCCGCUGCGGUUUACCGGGCCAGCAUCGGUUUGGAGCGGCAGGAUAAUGGCGGAGGAAUGUGGCACGGCUUCUGCUGUGUGUUAUAGCCUCUGACGAUACUGCCAGCCUAGACCGAGGACUGCGGUUUUUACCUAGGAUGUUGGCAUAAUGAUCUUAAGUCGCCCGUC